rnacentral:rRNA from 1 species
UGUGAAUUAAUUAUAAAGUCUAGCCUGCCCACUGAUGAUUUAAAGGGCCGCGGUAAUUUGACCGUGCGAAGGUAGCAUAGUCAGUAGUCUUUUAAUUGAAGGCUUGAAUGAAAGGUUGGACGAGGGAUAAGCUGUCUCUUACGUGUAACUUGAAUUUGACUUUUAAGUGAAAAGGCUUAAAUUAUUUAGAGGGACGAUAAGACCCUAUAAAACUUUACAUGAAUUCAGUUUGAUUCUGUGAGCUGAUGUGAAAAACAAUCCUGCUUAAUUCAUGUUUCGUUGGGGAGACGAAUAUAUAAUUUGUAACUGUCUGUUUAAUUAAAUAGUGAUAGUUAGUAUCUGAUCCCUCUAUGAGGAUUAAAAGAAUAAGUUACUUUAGGGAUAACAGCGUGAUUUUCUUUGAGAGUUCUUAUCGACAAGAGUAGUUGCGACCUCGAUGUUGAAUUAAAAUUUUAGCUAGGUGUAGCCGUUUAGCUGGUGGGUCUGUUCGACCUUUAAAAUUUUACAUGAUUUGAGUUCAAACCGGU